UACGGGGGGGGCAAGCGUUGUUCGGAAUUACUGGGCGUAAAGGGCGCGUAGGCGGCCUUCUAAGUCAGACGUGAAAUCCCUCGGCUCAACCGAGGAACUGCGUCUGAUACUGGAAGGCUUGAAUCCGGGAGAGGGAUGUGGAAUUCCAGGUGUAGCGGUGGAAUGCGCAGAUAUCAGGAGGAACACCGGUGGCGAAGGCGGGUCUCUGGGCAGUAACUGACGCUGAGGAGCGAAAGCGUGGGGAGCGAACAGG
rnacentral:rRNA from 1 species